AUUGAACGCUGGCGGCAGGCCUAACACAUGCAAGUCGAACGAGUGGCGGACGGGUGUGUAAUGUCUGGGAAACUGCCCGAUGGAGGGGGAUAACUACUGGAAACGGUAGCUAAUACCGCAUACCAUCGGAUGUGCCCAGAUGGGCUUAGCUGGUGGGUGGGGUAAAGGCUCACCUAGGCGACGGUCCCUAGCUGGUCGGAGAGGAGGACCGGCCACACUGGAACGGGGAAACGGUCCAGACUCCUACGGGAGGCAGCAGUGGGGAAUAUUGCACAAUGGGCGCAAGCCUGAUGCAGCCAUGCCGCGUGUAUGAAGAAGGCCUUCGGGUUGUAAAGUACUUUCAGCGAGGAGGCGUUACUCGCAGAGGAAGCACCGGCUAACUCCGUGCCAGCAGCCGCGGUAAUUC
rnacentral:rRNA from 1 species